UUAGGUCAUUGCAAAGCCUUCUCCAGGCUGAACAAACCCAAGUCUCUCAGCCUUUCCUCAUAAGAGACAUGCUCCAUUCCUCUAAUCAACUCAGUGGCCUCCUUUGGACUUGCUCCAACAAGUCCAUGUCCUUCCUGAGUGAUGUCUCCAAU